rnacentral:rRNA from 1 species
GAAAGGCUUCGGCCGGACAGGGAUGGGCAUGCGGCGCAUUAGGCAGUAGGCGGGGUAACGGCCCACCUAACCGACGAUGCGUAGGGGUUCUGAGAGGAAGGUCCCCCACACUGGUACUGAGACACGGACCAGACUCCUACGGGAGGCAGCAGUGAGGAAUAUUGGUCAAUGGUCGGGAGACUGAACCAGCCAAGCCGCGUGAGGGAGGAAGGUACAGAGUAUCGUAAACCUCUUUUGUCAGGGAACAAAGACUGGGACGCGUCCCCGGAUGAGUGUACCUGAAGAAAAAGCAUCGGCUAACUCCGUGCCAGCAGCCGCGGUAAUACGGAGGAUGCGAGCGUUAUCCGGAUUUAUUGGGUUUAAAGGGUGCGCAGGCGGUCUGUUAAGUCAGCGGUCAAAGCCCGGGGCUCAACCCCGGCCCGCCGUUGAAACUGGCAGUCUCGAGUUGGAGAGAAGUAUGCGGAAUGCGCGGUGUAGCGGUGAAAUGCAUAGAUAUCGCGCAGAACUCCGAUUGCGAAGGCAGCAUGCCGGCUCCACACUGACGCUGAGGCACGAAAGCGUGGGUAUCGAACAGGAUUAGAUACCCUGGUAGUCCACGCAGUAAACGAUGAAUGCUGGCUGUCCGGGGG